UCAAUGAUGAUAUAAUUUAUCCCUGUCUUAGCUUUCUGUCAUGCUGAAAAAUCAUGGUAGCCUGUGGUAAGGCUUUUACCUGACA
rnacentral:snoRNA from 14 species